rnacentral:rRNA from 1 species
UGCAGUCGAACGAGAACGGACUUAAGCUUGCUUAAGUUGUCAGCUAAGUGGCGCACGGGUGAGUAAUGUAUAGUUAACCUGCCCUCGAGAAAGGAAUAACAGAUGGAAACGUCUGCUAAUGCCCUAUAUGCCCAUAAUACAUAAGUAUGCUGGGGAAAUGCUUUAGUGCUCGAGGAUGGGACUGUAUGGUAUCAGAUAGUUGGUGAGGUAAUGGCUCACCAAGUCAAUGACGCCUAACUGGUUUGAGAGGAUGAUCAGUCACACUGGAACUGAGACACGGUCCAGACUCCUACGGGAGGCAGCAGUGGGGAAUAUUGCACAAUGGAGGAAACUCUGAUGCAGCAACGCCGCGUGGAGGGUGACACUUUUCGGAGCGUAAACUCCUUUUAUAUAGGAAGAUAAUGACGGUACUAUAUGAAUAAGCACCGGCUAACUCCGUGCCAGCAGCCGCGGUAAUACGGAAGGUGUAAGCGUUACUCGGAAUCACUGGGCGUAAAGAGCGUGUAGGCGGGUUAUUAAGUCAGAAGUGAAAUCCUAUGGCUCAACCAUAGAACUGCUUUUGAAACUGGUAACCUAGAGUAUGGGAGAGGUAGAUGGAAUUUCUGGUGUAGGGGUAAAAUCCGUAGAGAUCAGAAGGAAUACCGAUUGCGAAGGCGAUCUACUGGAACAUUACUGACGCUGAGACGCGAAAGCGUGGGGAGCAAACAGGAUUAGAUACCCUGGUAGUCCACGCCCUAAACGAUGUACACUAGUUGUUGCCAUGCUAGACAUGGCAGUAAUGCAGUUAACACAUUAAGUGUACCGCCUGGGGAGUACGGUCGCAAGAUUAAAACUCAAAGGAAUAGACGGGGACCCGCACAAGCGGUGGAGCAUGUGGUUUAAUUCGACGAUACGCGAAGAACCUUACCUGGACUUGACAUUUACAGAACUUUCAAGAGAUUGAU